UCUGAUUGGUUCUGUUGGGUGAGGAGGAGGAGGAGGAGGAGGAGCUGAGAUGAAGGUCUUCUCACCAGGUCAAAGUUCUGCCACACUUGCAGAGAGCGUGUGAUAAGACCUUUAUCAGCCCGCCGGAGAAGAAUCUGAGAAAAUAACACAUCCCACCUCCGUCAGGCCGAGACCUCAGUGCAGUUUGAAGAUACGAAGACACACAGCAGCCUGACGCGGAAUAAGCCAUGCGACCAUCCAUCUCUGUGACUCUGGAGCCCGGGUUGGAGCGAGGGGUCCCGUGGGGUCGUGACCUCUACACCUUUGUAACUUCAGCAGCGGGUCACAUGAUGAGGACUCUUCAGAAACCUCGGAAGAACCGACCGUCCAAGCGGCAGGUCAACCACCGUCGCUUCCUGCACAACAUGAUCCAGAGGUGUGUGUGGGAGCAUCAGGAAAGCACUGAUAUUUAAAUGUUAGAUGUUUCACAACAUUAUGUUUAUUUUUUUCCAGAUGUUUCUCAACUUUCUUUUUGGGAUUUUUUCUUCAUGCCUCUAAAAAUCCUUCAGAUUAAAAAAUCUGAGAAUGAAGAAUCACUCUUGGCAGCUGAUCACAGCUCUUUUCAAGACCGCUCACGAGUAGACAUCGCUUCAUUUUAAAUUCAAAGUUUGACAUUUUUGGGAAAUAUGCUUAUUUGCAUUUUAGUUAAAUGAGGAGCUAAAUACCAUUCUCUUAUCUGUAUGGUGAAGAUGAAGAAACAACCAGCAGCCUGUUAGUUUAGCUUAGCUUAGCACAAACACUAACAAAAUCCCCAUGAGGCUGAAAGUCACUGCACCCGGCUAAGAAAUAGUCCCACAUAUAAACCCCGUAAAACCACAAUGUGUAGUAUUUUCACUUUGUUUUUUGUACGGAUUAAACAAACAGUGUGUUGAUGGUAGGUGAUCUGUUAAUCAGAGCCAGGCUAGCUGUUUCCCUCUGUUUACAGUCUUUGUGCUAAGCUAAGCUAACUGGCUGAAGCUUCAUAUUUACCGUACAGACACGAGAGUGGUAUCAAUCUUUUCAUUUAACUCUCGGCAAGAAAGUGAAUAAACUUUUUUUCCCCAAAAUGUCGAACUAUUCCUUCGCCGUUACACAGAAAGUUCAA